rnacentral:rRNA from 1 species
GAUGAACGCUGGCGGCGUGCCUAAUACAUGCAAGUCGAGCGAACAGACGAGGAGCUUGCUCCUUCGACGUUAGCGGCGGACGGGUGAGUAACACGUAGGUAACCUACCUAUAAGACUGGGAUAACUUCGGGAAACCGGAGCUAAUACCGGAUAAUAUUUCGAACCGCAUGGUUCGAUAGUGAAAGAUGGCUUUGCUAUCACUUAUAGAUGGACCUGCGCCGUAUUAGCUAGUUGGUAAGGUAACGGCUUACCAAGGCAACGAUACGUAGCCGACCUGAGAGGGUGAUCGGCCACACUGGAACUGAGACACGGUCCAGACUCCUACGGGAGGCAGCAGUAGGGAAUCUUCCGCAAUGGGCGAAAGCCUGACGGAGCAACGCCGCGUGAGUGAUGAAGGUCUUCGGAUCGUAAAACUCUGUUAUUAGGGAAGAACAAACGUGUAAGUAACUGUGCACGUCUUGACGGUACCUAACCAGAAAGCCACGGCUAACUACGUG